AACGAACGCUGGCGGCAUGCCUAACACAUGCAAGUCGAACGAGAUCCUUCGGGGUCUAGUGGCGCACGGGUGCGUAACGCGUGGGAAUCUGCCCAAAGGUACGGAAUAACUCUCCGAAAGGGGUGCUAAUACCGUAUGAGGUCGCAAGACCAAAGAUUUAUCGCCUUUGGAUGAGCCCGCGUUGGAUUAGCUAGUUGGUGGGGUAAAGGCCUACCAAGGCGACGAUCCAUAGCUGGCUGAGAGGAUGAUCAGCCACACUGGGACUGAGACACGGCCCAGACUCCUACGGGAGGCAGCAGUGGGGAAUAUUGGACAAUGGGCGAAAGCCUGAUCCAGCAAUGCCGCGUGAGUGAUGAAGGCCUUAGGGUUGUAAAGCUCUUUUAUGUGGGACGAAACCUCUUAUUCUUAAGAGACUGAC
rnacentral:rRNA from 1 species